rfam:Bacterium TASB270 DNA, scaffold: TASB270_scaffold_1.
CCCAGGGUUCACACCCUGGACUACCAGAUUUCGCCCCGUUGGGGCU